rnacentral:rRNA from 1 species
UACAGAGGGGGCAAGCGUUGUUCGGAAUUACUGGGCGUAAAGGGCGCGUAGGCGGCCUGUUAAGUCGAACGUGAAAUCCCCGGGCUCAACCCGGGAACUGCGUCCGAUACUGGCAGGCUUGAAUCCGGGAGAGGGAUGCGGAAUUCCAGGUGUAGCGGUGAAAUGCGUAGAUAUCUGGAGGAACACCGGUGGCGAAGGCGGCAUCCUGGACCGACAUUGACGCUGAUGAGCGAAAGCUAGGGGAGCAAACGGG